AAAUUGAAGAGUUUGAUCAUGGCUCAGAUUGAACGCUGGCGGCAGGCCUAACACAUGCAAGUCGAACGGUAACAGGAAGCAGCUUGCUGCUUYGCUGACGAGUGGCGGACGGGUGAGUAAUGUCUGGGAAACUGCCCGAUGGAGGGGGAUAACUACUGGAAACGGUAGCUAAUACCGCAUAACGUCGCAAGACCAAAGAGGGGGACCUUCGGGCCUCUUGCCAUCGGAUGUGCCCAGAUGGGAUUAGCUAGUAGGUGGGGUAACGGCUCACCUAGGCGACGAUCCCUAGCUGGUCUGAGAGGAUGACCAGCCACACUGGAACUGAGACACGGUCCAGACUCCUACGGGAGGCAGCAGUGGGGAAUAUUGCACAAUGGGCGCAAGCCUGAUG
rnacentral:rRNA from 1 species